GUAGAUGUAGUUUAACCAAAACAUUAGAUUGUGAUUCUAGAAACAGGGGUUAAAAACCCCUCAUCCACC
rnacentral:tRNA from 1 species